rnacentral:rRNA from 1 species
UACGGGGGGGGCAAGCGUUGUUCGGAAUUACUGGGCGUAAAGGGCUCGUAGGCGGCCAACUAAGUCAGACGUGAAAUCCCUCGGCUUAACCGGGGAACUGCGUCUGAUACUGGAUGGCUAGAGGUUGGGAGAGGGAUGCGGAAUUCCAGGUGUAGCGGUGAAAUGCGUAGAUAUCGGGAGGAACACCGGUGGCGAAGGCGCCACUCUGGGCCGAAACUGACGCUGAGGAGCGAAAGCGUGGGUAGCAAACAGG